rnacentral:rRNA from 1 species
CCAGACUCCUACGGGAGGCAGCAGUGGGGAAUAUUGCACAAUGGGGGAAACCCUGAUGCAGCGACGCCGCGUGAGUGAAGAAGUAAUUCGUUAUGUAAAGCUCUAUCAGCAGGGAAGAAAAUGACGGUACCUGACUAAGAAGCCCCGGCUAACUACGUGCCAGCAGCCGCGGUAAUACGUAGGGGGCAAGCGUUAUCCGGAUUUACUGGGUGUAAAGGGAGCGUAGACGGUCCUGCAAGCCAGAUGUGAAAGGCCGGGGCUCAACCCCGGGACUGCAUUUGGAACUGUAAGGCUAGAGUGUCGGAGAGGCGGGCGGAAUUCCUAGUGUAGCGGUGAAAUGCGUAGAUAUUAGGAGGAACACCAGUGGCGAAGGCGGAUUACUGGACGAUAACUGACGGUGAGGCGCGAAAGCGUGGGGAGCAAACAGGAUUAGAUACCCCCGUA